AAUGUGCUAUGUUUUACUCUUCCAUAUUUUGCUAAAGAGAAAUUGAUAAAUGUUCUAUGUUUGUUAUUUGUUUCAUUUUUUUUUUGAUAUGUUUAAAAAUGCCCAAAAUUUUAUUUUCAAGCAGUCUUGUAAUCGCCCUCUUUUUUCGUACUUAACUUGACGAUCGACCCCAGUCUUCGCCGGGCUCUGGUUGACAUAUGCCUCAUUCCGAUGGCCGGACUUUUCAUUUCCAAGCACAUGGCGAAGGUUCUUUUCACAAGCCAAUCGUUAAACUCGUUUCGGUGUCUUCCAACUCUCAGGUGCUAUUCUUCUCGAUUAACCGAGACCAAAACCAAAUCAUCGACCAAAACCGUAAAGGCCACAGUCAUGGCCGAGAUGAUCAACUCUAAACCUUGGUCCAGUGACCUCGAAUCAUCUCUGGCUUCACUCUCACCCUCUCUUUCUCAAACCACUGUUCUUCAAACUUUGGGUUUUCUGAGAGACACAUCCAAAGCACUUCAAUUCUUCAACUGGGCACAGGAAAUGGGUUACACCCACACCGAACAAUCAUACUUCUCGAUGCUAGAAAUUUUGGGUCGCAACCGGCAUCUUAAUACGGCUAGGAAUUUUUUGUUUUCGAUUGAAAAACGGUCUCGUGGGAUAGUCAAACUCGAAGCCCGCUUCUUCAAUAGCUUAAUGAGGAACUUUAAUCGAGCUGGACUGUUUCAGGAAUCUAUAAAGGUGUUUACGAUAAUGAAAUCACAUGGAGUUUCUCCGUCGGUUGUUACAUUUAACAGUCUUUUGACCAUUUUGCUUAAAAGGGGUAGGACCAAUAUGGCAAAGAAAGUGUAUGAUGAAAUGCUUAGUACUUAUGGAGUGACUCCAGAUACAUUUACAUUUAACAUUUUGAUUAGAGGAUUUUGUAUGAAUGGUAUGGUUGAUGAUGGUUUUAGGAUUUUCAACGACUUAUCUCGCUUUGGAUGUGAACCGGAUGUUGUUACAUAUAACACACUUGUUGAUGGGUUGUGCAGGGCAGGUAAGGUUACCGUCGCAUAUAAUGUGGUGAAGGGUAUGGGGAAGAAAAGUGUGGAUCUGAAUCCCAAUGUUGUUACAUACACAACUUUGAUUAGAGGUUAUUGUGCAAAGCGAGAGAUUGAGAAAGCCUUGGCUGUUUUUGAAGAAAUGGUUAAUCAAGGAUUGAAAGCAAACAACAUAACCUACAAUACUUUAAUUAAGGGGCUUUGUGAGGCCCGGAAAUUUGAGAAAAUAAAAGACAUAUUAGAGGGAACAGCGGGAGAUGGAACAUUUUCUCCUGACACAUGCACAUUCAACACUUUGAUGCAUUGCCAUUGUCAUGCUGGAAACUUGGAUGACGCCCUGAAAGUGUUUGAGAGGAUGUCAGAAUUAAAGAUUCAACCAGAUUCGGCCACGUACAGUGCAUUGGUUAGAAGUUUGUGUCAAGGAGGUCAUUAUGAGAAGGCAGAGGACUUGUUAGAUAAACUAUUAGAGAGAAAAAUAUUGUUAAGUGGUGACGGUUGUAAGCCUCUUGUUGCUGCAUAUAACCCCAUUUUUAAGUAUCUUUGUGAAACUGGAAAGACUAAGAAAGCUGAAAAGGCAUUUAGACAGCUAAUGAGAAGAGGAACGCAAGACCCUCCAUCUUACAAGACUUUGAUCAUGGGGCAUUGUAAAGAAGGUACAUUUGAAUCUGGGUAUGAGUUACUAGUCUUGAUGUUGAGGAAAGAUUUUUUACCAGAUUUCGAAACAUACGAAUCCUUAAUCAACGGGCUUUUGCACAUGGAUAAGCCUCUUCUUGCCCUUCAGUCACUGGAAAAGAUGCUGAGGAGCUCCCAUCGUCCUAAUUCAUCUACCUUUCAUUCUAUACUUGCAAAACUAUUAGAACAAGGAAGGACAUCUGAGUCUGCUAGUCUUAUACAAUUAAUGUUAGACAAGAAUAUUAGACAAAAUCUUAGUUUCUCAACUGGCUGUGUAAGACUACUAUUUGGAGCUGGAAUGAAUGACAAAGCAUUCCAAUUAGUUCACCUGCUUUAUGGAAAGGGCUAUUCGGUUAAAAUGGAAGAAUUAAUCCGUUAUCUUUGCCACUGUAGAAAGGUUAUUCAGGGAUCUAAACUGUUGCUAUUUAGUUUGGAGAGUCAUCAAUUUGUAGACAUGGAUCUUUGCAAUACAGUUAUUUUUCAACUUUGUGAGAUUAAUAAGUUGUCUGAAGCAUUUAGUCUGUACUAUAAACUGGUUGAGAUGGGGGUCCAUCAACAGUUAAGCUGCCAAAACCAAUUGAAAGUUUCUCUUGAGGCUGGGGAGAAAUUGGAAGAGGCUGAGUUUGUAUCAAAAAGGAUGGAACCGGUGGAGAUGGGAGUCCAUCAACAGCUAAGCUGUCAAAACCAAUUGAAAUUUUCUCUCAAGGCUGGGGGAAAAUUGGAAGAGGCUGAAUCUGUACAGAAAAGGAUGGAACGGCGUCUGAAAUCUAAAAAUUCCAAUCCACGAGUGUAAAAUAUUUCUGAGAAGUCCAAAGGAAAAUGAUGUGUGAGCAAGCAACAGAAAUUCGCAAGUCUAAGGGAUCUGGCCUCAUAUCAAGAAGGGGUAGGACGACUUCUGGUUCCGGUCAGAAUAGCAAAUCAUCAGUAGAUGCACUAUUGUCCCAAAGCAGCCCUGCUCUAGCCUCUCAGAACAUUGAAACACCUUCAAAGAUCUUUCUGAUCAACUGUCUAUGUGCCAUCCAACAGCCAUUAUCUGGCCACGAGGUUGCAGCUGAAUAUGUCAAGAAACUUGAAGUAAUGAUAAAUUAGUCACAUGAGUGUGCUUGUUGAAAAGGAAGUUGAUGCAAUCUUAUGAAGGUGCGGCUUAUCUCAAAAGAUGACGUAUUUCCAUAAAAUCUCACAAACAGGCAAUGCAACGGGAUGGACCGAGAUUCAAGACACAUCUCUCCCGCUUCACUUUCAGAGAGCUUGAAAGCUUUCUUUGGGCAUGUUUUGGGAAGUGAGAGUUUCCUUCCUAAGUUUGAGCUAUUACAGGUUCCUAAACUGCGAACGGAAGCCUGUGUUCAAGUGGCUCGAUCACUCUCUGAAGCUGACAAACUUAUAUACAACACAAUCAUGGAUCCAAACAACAGGUACCCAGACCCCACUGCGUGCAAGGCAUCCUCCAAACCAGAUAAGAAAGAUUUUGGGAAUAUAACUAUAGAGAUUUAAUUGGUGAUAUCAUUGCAUUGAAUAGGUUGCUGUUUAGUGUUACUUUUAAGAGUCUAAAGCUUUAGAUUAAAUGGUUUUAACUUAAUUCAUCAUUAAUACACUAAUAAUGAAUAAAACUAUAGGUUUUUUUUUUUUCUUUCCUGAAAAGAAGCUAUACAUUUAAGUUUAUUUAAGUUGAUUUAGGGUAUGACCUAAUUUUUAAUCUA